GAAGAUCACCAUCUUUCUACGGUUUAAAAAUCUUCUUGGGAGAUGUUGUCUAGUAUGGGCUCCUGAAGCCUGAUGAGUUCUGAAUAGGAUGGAAGUCGAGGUUGAGGACUACCCUAUCCUAGAAUAGACACCCUGGAAGAAUUAUUUUUCCAUACGUACAUAUUUGUAUGUUGACAUGAUUAUUUGAGGAUUGUAAGUUUAGCCUUAGCGUUUGGGUAUAGGAGAGAUACCUAAGCGUGGCGGUAACACCUAGUUUUCUGCUGGUUAGACGCUUCCGCAAUGUAUUGUAUUAUUAGGGAUUUUGUAAUAAAUCCAAGUGGUGAAAAUUGGGGUGUUGCAUGAGUGGUCUGUCAAUCAACGGUUAUGAACAUCGCAUUUCAAUAGUUUGGAUGGGCAUCAUCCCAAAAAGCCAUACACUCCAUUUGGUAAUCUGGAGUGAAGUCUGGAUUAACAUUUUAGAUAUAUGAUUCAUACAUUCUGAUAUAUUUUUA